rnacentral:tRNA from 1 species
GGGCCAGUAGCUCAGGUGGUAGAGCAGCGGCCUUUUAAGCCGUUGGUCGGAGGUUCGAUUCCUCCCUGGCUCACCC